GACGAACGCUGGCGGCGUGCUUAACACAUGCAAGUCGAGCGGUGAAGCGCCUUCCUUUUUGGUGGGUGUGGAUGAGUGGCGAACGGGUGAGUAACACGUGAGUAACCUGCCCCCUUCUUCUGGAUAACCGCAUGAAAGUGUGGCUAAUACGGGAUAUUCUGGGUCUGUCGCAUGAUGGGUCUGGGAAAGAUAUUGUUUCGGUGGGGGAUGGGCUCGCGGCCUAUCAGCUUGUUGGUGGGGUGAUGGCCUACCAAGGCGGUGACGGGUAGCCGGCCUGAGAGGGUGGACGGUCACACUGGGACUGAGACACGGCCCAGACUCCUACGGGAGGCAGCAGUGGGGAAUAUUGCACAAUGGGCGCAAGUCUGAUGCAGCGACGCCGCGUGAGGGAUGGAGGCCUUCGGGUUGUGAACCUCUUUCGCCAGUGAAGCAGGCCUGCCUCGUUUGUGGGUGGGUUGACGGUAGCUGGAGAAGAAGCGCCGGCUAACUACGUG
rnacentral:rRNA from 1 species